rnacentral:rRNA from 1 species
UACGAAGGGGGGCUAGCGUUGCUCGGAAUCACUGGGCGUAAAGGGUGCGUAGGCGGGUCUUUUAAGUCAGGGGUGAAAUCCUGGAGCUCAACUCCAGAACUGCCUUUUGAUACUGAAGAUCUUGAGUUCGGGAGAGGUGAGUGGAACUGCGAGUGUAGAGGUGAAAUUCGUAGAUAUUCGCAAGAACACCAGUGGCGAAGGCGGCUCACUGGCCCGAUACUGACGCUGAGACGCGAAA